rnacentral:rRNA from 1 species
GAUGAACGCUGGCGGCGUGCCUAACACAUGCAAGUCGAACGAUGAAGCCCAGCUUGCUGGGUGGAUUAGUGGCGAACGGGUGAGUAACACGUGAGUAACCUGCCCUUGACUCUGGGAUAAGCCUGGGAAACUGGGUCUAAUACUGGAUAUGACUUCUCAUCGCAUGGUGGGGGGUGGAAAGAUUUAUUGGUCUUGGAUGGACUCGCGGCCUAUCAGCUUGUUGGUGAGGUAAUGGCUCACCAAGGCGACGACGGGUAGCCGGCCUGAGAGGGUGACCGGCCACACUGGGACUGAGACACGGCCCAGACUCCUACGGGAGGCAGCAGUGGGGAAUAUUGCACAAUGGGCGCAAGCCUGAUGCAGCGACGCCGCGUGAGGGAUGACGGCCUUCGGGUUGUAAACCUCUUUCAGUAGGGAAGAAGCGAGCGUGACGGUACCUGCAGAAGAAGCGCCGGCUAACUACGUG